UAGCUCGGUCGUUUAGAGCGUGGUGCUGACAACACCAAGGUUAUGGGUUCGAUCUCCAU
rnacentral:tRNA from 1 species